AGAUGGACUGGUGCACCAGGAGAUAGGUGGAGGACAAAUGGAGAGAACUGCAGAAAAACAUGAUGAUGAUGCUCCAGAAAGGGUAGUGAAGAACCGAGGUAAGAGACCCUGGAAUGACCAGGAGAGGACGGCAGUCAAACGACGCCUUGCCAAGUCAAUCGCCCUUAAAAUGGUUCCAGGAAAGCAGGACUGCCUGAUGUGCAUUGCCAAAGAGUCUCCAGUCCUAAGUGCGCAGAAGUGGAAAGACGUGAAGUAUUUUGUAUACAACGAAAUUCUUAAAGUUAAAAGAAAGCUUGCAUUAUGAAUGAAUUGACUGAGUUUCCUCCCUCUGUUGUAUUUCCGUGUUUUAAAGGGUGAAUUGUCUGUUAGUUUGUUCAUUUGUUAGCACUCUAACAACUUGAACAAUAAUAAUAAAUGCUGGUUUAUUUAUUA